GAACUGUGGUGUUUUUGUAUGCACAGCAAGUUAACUGUAUUAUGUUGAUUUUGUUAAUAUAUUCUCUAAUAUAAUCGUUGUUUGAUGACUAUAACUGAUUCUGUUAAAUAAUUUUUGGAGUAGAUGGCAGAGAUGGAAGCUAAAAGUAUUCAAAUGUGCCAGGAAAUUCUGCACACUGAACAGAUGGGAUACCUUCGUCUUUACCAUGCCUCAUACAUGGUGAAACAUCUGCAACCAGAGGUAACUCUGUAAACUGUAAACCUUUUGAAUUUCAAGAGUAUGCAAAGCUUAACAUGAAAGUUUAUCCUAGGACUUUCCACCCGAAGUCAAAAUAAUUCAGAGUGCAACACAGACCAGCUGUGUGGCCCAGGAUGUAGGAGUUUGCAUUUAUCAAAAAUAUCAAUCAAAAGUAAUGCACCCACAAAUCCAGUCACUGGACUGGAUUCAAUGUGACCUUUGCAAAAAAUGGCUGCAUUCUGACUGCGCUGGUAUCAGCCUUGAAAUGAUCACAGAGGAAACAUCAUUCAGCUGUGGAUGUGACACUAACCAUGUGCAUACCUUUGAGAAAACAUUGGCACUAUUGAAGAAGGGCUGGUUGGUUGACCUUGUAAUACAGGAUCAAUAAGUCUUGAGAUUGCACGAAGGCUUGAGAAACGGCACAAUCCGAUCCAGCAGGAUGUUUUUAUUUAAACAUCCCACAUUUUCUUCAAAGCUGAGGAUGAAACUUAGCAAAAAGUUUUUUUUUUUUUUUUUUUUGAUGAAGAACAGGUAUUUCAUACUGUUUGCCUUGUUUAACAAUUUACAUAGUUAAAAUAAGUUUAUUUAUGUUGUACCUUAAGAACACAAGACUGUACAGAUGCGUAAGAAAGUAUAUAUAUCAGAUGUUAUUUUAACAUAUUUUCAUUGGAAUGUAUACUGUCAAUGUAGAUUUUCUACAGAAAAAUUAGAGAAUUAUGAAUGUAAUUACGAAUGUUAUUAUGUACAAAUUUAACAAAUGUUUUGCUACAGACAGAGAGGAUAAUUGAAAGAAUAUACACAGUAACACAGCUGCCUAGGGUUUCCCUGGACAACACAACUUACGUUCUUGAAGUUUUGACCCCUGUGGUAUAUAUAGACACUUUGAUACAGUACAUGGGACAAUAUCAUUAAAUGCACUGUACAUAUAUCUUUCAUAAUUCUAUCUUCUUCUUUUUUUUAAAGCUAACACUGUUAAUACUGCAAAAGACUGAGGGCUUUCACAGGUUCCAGGCAGAAAUGGCUUUACAGUCAAACAUUGCUUUGGAGUAAGUCUUUCUUUUAGUGUUGUUUUUUCAUUCAUCCUUAAAACAUGUCUGAAAAGCUUAUACCCAUGUCUUAUUUCUCUUUUAAAGGGUACAAUGCUCAAAUCCACCAUGGUUUUGAUGGCACUUCAUCAGUAGGAGUGUAAUCCUGUAUGAAGAGGGUGGCCCGCUGAACAACUGUACUUUAGGCCCAAAGUUCUAGUAGCCCUGUCUAGUAGCCCUGUCCCCAUAUUCUUUCACAUUUCUCCUAGUGGUUUAAGAUAAAUAAUAUCACUGACAUUGAAGACUGUAUGUAAACAUUGUUAUUGAACUAUUGAUUUAGAUACAGUACCGGUCAAAAUUUUGGACACAUUACUACUAGUCUCUUAUUAUCAUCAAGCCUGCUCAAAGCCAAGCCAAUUUGAUCAAAAAUACAGAAAGCACAGUAAUAUUGUGAAAUAUUACAAUUAAAAAUAAUGGUUUUCUAAUUUAAUACUUUAAAAUAUAAUUUUUUCCAUGAUUAAAGCUG